rnacentral:rRNA from 1 species
AUUGAACGCUGGCGGCAUGCCUUACACAUGCAAGUCGAACGGCAGCACGGGAGCUUGCUCCUGGUGGCGAGUGGCGAACGGGUGAGUAAUACAUCGGAACGUACCCUGAAGUGGGGGAUAACGUAGCGAAAGUUACGCUAAUACCGCAUAUUCUGUGAGCAGGAAAGAGGGGGGAUCGCAAGACCUCUUGCUUUAGGAGCGGCCGAUGUCGGAUUAGCUAGUUGGUGAGGUAAAGGCUCACCAAGGCGACGAUCCGUAGCGGGUCUGAGAGGAUGAUCCGCCACACUGGGACUGAGACACGGCCCAGACUCCUACGGGAGGCAGCAGU